GUGGCUAUAGUUUACUGGUGAGAAUUCCACGUUGUGACCAUCGAGACCUGGGCUCGAAUCCCAUCUGCCACA
rnacentral:tRNA from 1 species